GUGCCCACUUCUGCAGCAAAUAUACUAAAACUGGACAAUAGAGAAAUUAUCGUGGCCCCUACACAAGGGUGACACAAAAAUUCAUUGUGUUCCAUAUUUUU
rnacentral:snRNA from 1 species